GACGAACCGUGCGAACGUUGUUCGGAUUCGAUCUGGCUUAAGGGGCGUCGAGUAGGCGGGCGGGUCGAAGUCGGGGGGUGAAAUCUUUCAGCUUAACUGGAAAAGUGCCUCCGAUACUGAUCGCCUCGAGGGAGGUAGGGGCAUGUGGAACUUCCGGUGGAGCGGUGAAAUGCGUAGAUAUCGGAAGGAACGCCGGUGGCGAAGGCGGUUACCUGGAAGAUUCCUGACUCUGAAACACGAAAGCCAGGGGAGCAAACGGG
rnacentral:rRNA from 1 species